rnacentral:lncRNA from 1 species
GUGCGGCUGCGGGUGGCGGCGGUGUCCUUCUGGUGGCCAGGUCUUCUUCUCAGGCGAGGGGGUCUGACGGCUAGGGUUAGGGUUUGGUGUGGAUGGGGGUUAUUUAUAUUUGUCUGCUUUUGAUCUGGAACAUCCAUCGCAUUUGAUUUGCAUCGUCUGAUCGCAAUUAAAUAGGAAGUGAAUCUGGAUCGUUCAUUGCGAUCCAAUUUAGGCCAUCCAUCGCGGUCGACUCUCGAUCAUCCGAUCGCGUUCAAAUCUGAUCGUCCGAUCACGUUUGGGGAGGGAACGCAUCUGGACCGUCUGUGCGCACGGGA